rnacentral:rRNA from 1 species
AGAGUUUGAUCCUGGCUCAGGACGAACGCUGGCGGCGUGCCUAACACAUGCAAGUCGAACGGAAGUUGGAGCUUCGGUUUUAACUUUAGUGGCGAACGGGUGAGUAACGCGUGAGGAAUCUGCCUUUCAGUGGGGGACAACAGUUGGAAACGACUGCUAAUACCGCAUGAUGCUUUUGGGAGACAUCUCCUGGAAGCCAAAGCUUUAUGUGCUGAAAGAUGGCCUCGCGUCUGAUUAGCUAGUUGGUGAGGUAACGGCUCACCAAGGCGACGAUCAGUAGCCGGUCUGAGAGGAUGAACGGCCACAUUGGGACUGAGAUACGGCCCAG